rnacentral:rRNA from 1 species
AUUGAACGCUGGCGGAAUGCUUUACACAUGCAAGUCGAGCGGCAGCACGGGGGCAACCCUGGUGGCGAGCGGCGAACGGGUGAGUAAUACAUCGGAACAUGCCCAGUCGUGGGGGAUAACACUUCGAAAGAAGUGCUAAUACCGCAUACGUCCUGAGGGAGAAAGCGGGGGAUCUUCGGACCUCGCGCGAUUGGAGUGGCCGAUGUCAGAUUAGCUAGUUGGUGGGGUAAAGGCCUACCAAGGCAACGAUCUGUAGCUGGGCUGAGAGGAUGAUGAGCCAAACUGGGACUGGGACACGGCCCAGACUCCUACGGGAGGCAGCAGUGGGGAAUUUUGGACAAUGGGGGCAACCCUGAUCCAGCCAUUCCGCGUGAGUGAAGAAGGCCUUCGGGUUGUAAAGCUCUUUCGGCAGGAACGAAACGGCGAGCUCUAACAUAGCUUGCUAAUGACGGUACCUGAAGAAGAAGCACCGGCUAACUACGUGCCAGCCGCCGCGGUAAAAC